rnacentral:rRNA from 1 species
UACGUAGGGGGCAAGCGUUGUCCGGAAUUAUUGGGCGUAAAGAGCUCGUAGGCGGUGUGUCACGUCGGCCGUGAAAACCUGCAGCUUAACUGUGGGCGUGCGGUCGAUACGGGCAUCACUGGAGUUCGGCAGGGGAGACUGGAAUUCCUGGUGUAGCGGUGAAAUGCGCAGAUAUCGGAAGGAACAUCAGUGGCGAAAGCGACUUCCUGGACCAGUACCGACGUUCAGGCACGAAAGCGUGGGGAGCAAACAGG